CGAACUCAAGCUCUAAUCAGCAUUACUCCAAGUUAAGGAUUCAUCAAAAUUAUAGAACUACAAUAAUCCCACAUAAAUAAGAAUAAUGCAGCACUGAGGAACACCAGAGCCUUCAGCAGUGAAUAGAAAGCAAUAGCAUUACAUGAUAAACUUGAUUGCUUGAAGUUCUGGA